rnacentral:tRNA from 3 species
GGGGCGAUAGUUCAGUUGGGAGAACGCUACAUUCGCAUUGUAGAGGUCGCGGGUUCAAAUCCCGCUCGCUCCACCA